rnacentral:rRNA from 1 species
UACGGGGGGGGCAAGCGUUGUUCGGAAUUACUGGGCGUAAAGGGCUCGUAGGCGGCCAACUAAGUCAGACGUGAAAUCCCCCGGCUUAACCAGGGAACUGCGUCUGAUACUGGAUGGCUAGAGGUUGGGAGAAGGAUGCGGAAUUCCAGGUGUAGCGGUGAAAUGCGUAGAUAUCUGGAGGAACACCGGUGGCGAAGGCGGCAUCCUGGACCAAUUCUGACGCUGAUGAGCGAAAGCCAGGGGAGCAAACGGG